GCGCUCUGGAGACAAGCGUGGGAAGCACCGCAAUGUGGCGAGUUCUGAACACCUUGCUUUGCUUUUGUCCAGACAUAUUGCUUCUUUCUAGAGAAACCUUGAAACUGUCUUUCCAUUUGUAUCUGGUAACCCCAAGUUACCAGCCUGAUACAUGGUCAUCACUGCUCAGUGAAUAUUCUAAGGCAGGACCACCAUUGGCAGAAUUGUGUCAGAAUACCAGGAUUCCAAAAUUCAGGAGUAAAGUAUCUAUUCAGACACUCAGGAUUCUGUACCUAGAGCUAUGUUAAGAGCAUCCUUCAGUAAAAAAUCGGGAGUCAGAUAUUGGCGUAAGAAUCCGAAUGAUCAGAGGAGCUAUGGAGAAGCCACCAGUCACCUCCUACCUCUUCCGUUCCUUCCUCCAAAAGGACUGAAGCCCUCUUGUAGUCCUGUCUUGCUACUUCUUGUCCCCUAUCUCUUCACAGUCCUCCAAACUUCUAUGGUCAGUUUGGGCUAGCUCUACUUUCUGACUUAAAGCAUGAUUUAUUUCCAAAAUGAAAUCAAAAUUUCACACAAAUCAGUAUUGCUCUGUUAGUGUGAAGACUUGGGUUUGGAUCCCCCUCACUCUUAUACAAAGCUGGGCACAGCAGUGUGAUCCUAUAACCAUAGUAUGAGAGGUAGAGAAACAGGCAGAUCCUUGGGGUCUAUAGACCACCAGCUUAGCCAAAUUGUAAGCCCAGGCCAAGGAGACAUCUUGUCUCAAAACACAAGGUUGUUUGUUCCUGAAUAUUGGGAGUCAGGUUUACUCUUUGAUUUUCACAUACACACACAAAUGUUUGCAUAUACCUGCACUCACAGAGAAAAAAAUAUCUUUUGUGAUAAUUUAUAAUUUACUUCCGAAUGAAGAAAAGUCCAUGCAAGUAUUAGCCUUCCUAGAAAUUAAAAAUGUUCAAACACUACACUGAUAGCAUGGAUUUAAGGAGUGUGGUGGUUUGAAAGAAAAUGACCCCUAUAGGGAGUGGCAAUAUUAGGAGGUGUGGCUUUGUUGGAGGAGGUGUGGCCUUGAUGGAAAAAGUAUGCCACUGUAGAGGUAGACUUUGAGGUCUCGUAUAUUCUCAAGCCAUGUCCAGUGUCUCAGUACACUUCCUGUUACCUGUGAGUGAAGAUGUAAUGCCUUUUCCAGGACCAUGUCUGCCUAUACACCACAGUGUCAAUCAUGAUGAUACCUAACUAAACCUCUGAAAAUGUAAGCCACCCUGUAGGCAAGAAUUUCUAUCCCGCCAGCGAACUCCCAAAUAACCACACAGAGACUUAUUAUUAAUUAUAAAUGUUUUUCAAUGGCUUAGGCUUGUUGCUAACUAGCACUUACAAUUUAUAUUAAUCACUAUUUCUCAUCUACACUCUACCAUGAAAGUAGGUACUGUUUUUCCCAACAUGGCAUGUUCAUCUCCUGCUUUCUCUGCAUCUGGCCAGGAAUUCCGCCCUCCACCUUCCCAGCAUUCUCUCAGUCUGGCUCUCCUG